UACGAAGGGGGCUAGCGUUGUUCGGAAUUACUGGGCGUAAAGGGCGCGCAGGCGGCUGCUCAAGUCAGGCGUGAAAGGCCUGGGCUCAACCCGGGAAUUGCGCUUGAGACUGGGCUGGCUUGAGUGCGGGAGAGGAUGGUGGAAUUCCCAGUGUAGAGGUGAAAUUCGUAGAUAUUGGGAAGAACACCGGUGGCGAAGGCGGCCAUCUGGACCGCAACUGACGCUAAGGCGCGAAAGCGUGGGGAGCAAACAGG
rnacentral:rRNA from 1 species